rnacentral:rRNA from 1 species
AUACGGAGGGUGCAAGCGUUAUUCGGAAUCACUGGGCGUAAAGGACGCGUAGGCGGGUUGGCAAGUCAGAUGAGAAAUCCUACAGCUUGACUGUAGAACUGCAUUUGAAACUGCUAACCUAGAGUAUGGGAGGGGGAGAUGGAAUUAGUGGUGUAGGGGUAAAAUCCGUAGAUAUCACUAGGAAUACCGAAAGCGAAGGCGAUCUCCUGGAACAUAACUGACGCUAAGGCGUGAAAGCGUGGGGAGCAAACAGGAUUAGAAACCCUAGUAGUCC